rnacentral:rRNA from 1 species
AUACGGAGGGUGCAAGCGUUAAUCGGAAUCACUGGGCGUAAAGGACGCGUAGGCGGGUUGGCAAGUCAGAUGUGAAAUCCUACAGCUUAACUGUAGAACUGCAUUUGAAACUGCUAACCUAGAGUAUGAGAGGGGGAGAUGGAAUUAGUGGUGUAGGGGUAAAAUCCGUAGAUAUCACUAGGAAUACCGAAAGCGAAGGCGAUCUCCUGGAACAUAACUGACGCUAAGGCGUGAAAGCGUGGGGAGCAAACAGGAUUAGAAACCCUAGUAGUCC